AACUUUUAGCAACGGAUAACUUGGCUCCCGCAUCGAUGAAGAACGCAGCGAAACGCGAAAUGUAAUGUGAAUUGCAGAACCCCCGUGAAUCAUCGAAUCUUUGAACGCACCUUGCGCCCUGAGGUACUCCUCUGGGCAUGCCUGUCUGAAUGUCGCUCACCUCUCAACCACGCACGUUUUGGCGCGCGCUGGCUUGGACCGUGGCCGCAAGGCUGACGACGCACGUUGGCCCGGCCGAAAUGCAUGCGGAGCGCAUACACGCUCAAGACGUCGCCCAGCGUUGUAGACCCCUCGCUGGACCGUCAUGAGAGCGUGGCUCCCCAGUCUAUCAUUUCGACCUCAGAUCAAGCAGGACUACCCGCUGAACUUAAGCAUAUCAAUAAGCGGAGGCU
rnacentral:misc_RNA from 1 species